rnacentral:rRNA from 1 species
AUGGCGGCGGUGGCGGCAAGGUUCGGGCUCCGACGCAUGUUCUCCAUCGCCGACUUCGCGACGCCGAACGCGCGCAUGUUCUCCAUCUCGGCCUUCGCGCCGCCGAGCCCGCCCACGCCUCCCCCGAAGGCCGACCCCUCCCCCAACCUCUUCGUCUCCGGGCUAAGCAAGCGUACAACAACUGAUGGACUUAGAGAAGCUUUUGCAAAGUUUGGGGAAGUUGAACACGCUCGAGUUGUCACAGAUCGUGUCACUGGUUUUUCUAAGGGGUUUGGCUUUGUAAGGUAUGUUACGGUUGAAGAUGCAGCUAAAGGAAUAGAAGGAAUGGAUGGAAAAUUUCUGGAUGGAUGGGUUAUUUUUGCCGAAUAUGCUAGACCCAGACCACCGCCGCAGAUGGGAGGGGCAACUCCGCAGCCACAACAAUCAUGGGGCACUCCUGGUUCCUGGGGCUCACAGUAG